AUGGCCCGAAGCUUCGACCGCUUAGCUCCAGCGACCCCGCCCGGAUCCGCGCGUUUGCCACCCUCGGCUACCUCGAGGAGCUCAGGCGCCCUGCUGCCAUGUUCUGCUACUGCCGCUGCAAGUCCCACGGCCCACGCCUCCGCAGCCCUGCUUCUCGCGUGCGUGCAAGCGAACGCACAGCCGCGCGCGUUGACCCUCGCUGUGUCCAGCGUGCGACCGGCGGGCGCGGCGAGCGGCGACGCGGCGCGCGGCGGAACGGGCGAGCAGCAGCAGGUACAAACGGCGUUGACUAACGAUGCCAGCACUUACAUGCGGGCAAUGCCUGUCAUAAGGGCGUUUAAAAUGGACGAACGGGUCGAUUUACAUACUUGGUAG
rnacentral:rRNA from 1 species